rnacentral:tRNA from 1 species
AAGGGAGACCUAAUUCAGGUAGGAGACGAAAAAAAAGUAGUCCCAACCAAGAAUCAAUCCCAAAAGGUCGGAGCGAGGCGAAAUUGGCUUUCAAACUAGGUUCUGGGUUCACACAAGACCUGAAUCAGGAACAAGGGCUAUUAGCUCAGGUGGUUAGAGCGCACCCCUGAUAAGGGUGAGGUCCCUGGUUCGAGUCCAGGAUGGCCCACCUGCACAGGUGGCAAAAACAAGAGAAGCGAGGAAUCAGCACCUUAUCUUAUUUAUAUAUAUAUAGGAGAGAAUGCUGGCUCUGAGUAAAGAGUCCAGAGGAACCUUGAAAACUGCAUAGAGCUAGGUGAAAAAGCCAAAAAAGAAGACCGCAA